CUCCUCUCAGGGUCACACCUGGAGAGUUUCCAGAACUCUACCAGUCUCAACUAGAGGAGGGAGAGUCGGUCAGAGGCCUAUCCAUUCCAUUCCUAGCUUGGCCAGUGGCUAGCGAGUGGAAGGCAAUCGGCUACAGGU